UACAGAGGUCUCAAGCGUUGCUCGGAAUCACUGGGCGUAAAGCGCACGUAGGCGGAUCGUUAAGUCGGGGGUGAAAUCCUGGAGCUCAACUCCAGAACUGCCUCCGAUACUGGCGAUCUUGGAGUCCGGGAGAGGUGAGUGGAACUCCGAGUGUAGAGGUGAAAUUCGUAGAUAUUCGGAAGAACACCAGUGGCGAAGGCGGCUCACUGGCCCGGUACUGACGCUGAGGUGCGAAAGCGUGGGGAGCAAACAGG
rnacentral:rRNA from 1 species